GUGUCAGCCGCCGCGGUAAGACGAACCGUCCAAACGUUAUUCGGAAUUACUGGGCUUAAAGGGUGCGUAGGCGGUCCGUUAAGUUGGGUGUGAAAGACCUCGGCUCAACCGAGGAAUGGCGCCCAAAACUAGCGGACUUGAGUAAGGCAGAGGUGAACGGAACUUAGGGUGGAGCGGUGAAAUGCGUUGAUAUCCUAAGGAACACCAGUAGCGAAAGCGGUUCACUGGGCCUUUUCUGACGCUGAGGCACGAAAGCCAGGGGAGCGAACGGGAUUAGAUACCCGCGUAGUCC
rnacentral:rRNA from 1 species